rnacentral:rRNA from 1 species
UGAGGAAUAUUGGUCAAUGGACGCAAGUCUGAACCAGCCAUGCCGCGUGCAGGAUGACGGCUCUAUGAGUUGUAAACUGCUUUUGUACGAGGGUAAACGCAGAUACGUGUAUCUGUCUGAAAGUAUCGUACGAAUAAGGAUCGGCUAACUCCGUGCCAGCAGCCGCGGUAAUACGGAGGAUCCAAGCGUUAUCCGGAUUUAUUGGGUUUAAAGGGUGCGUAGGCGGUUUUAUAAGUUAGAGGUGAAAAUUCGGGGCUCAACUCCGGACGUGCCUCUAAUACUGUAUGACUAGAGAUUAGAUGCGGUAGGCGGAAUGUAUGGUGUAGCGGUGAAAUGCGUAGAGAUCAUACAGAACACCGAUUGCGAAGGCAGCUUACCAAACUACAUCUGACGUUGAGGCACGAAAGCGUGGGGAGCAAACAGG